CAUAAGAGGUCCCGCCUGCCCGGUGACUGUUUGUUUAACGGCCGCGGUACUUUGACCGUGCGAAGGUAGCGCAAUCACUUGUCUUUUAAAUGAAGACCUGUAUGAAUGGCAUAACGAGGGCUUAACUGUCUCCUUUUUCUAGUCAAUGAAAUUGAUCUCCCCGUGCAGAAGCGGGGAUGAAUCCAUAAGACGAGAAGACCCUGUGGAGCUUUAGAUAACGGGUCAAUAUUAGCCCAAAGCCCCAAUCAAGGAAUUAAGCACUUACAUAAACUGACCUAACGUCUUCGGUUGGGGCGACCUCGGGGAACAAACCAUCCCCCGUGAGGAAUAAGAGGGACUCCCUCCUUGAACCAAGAGCUACCACUCAAAGUAACAGUAAUUCUGACCAACUAUAUGAUCCGGCCGCAAGCCGAUUAACGGACCAAGUUACCCCAGGGAUAACAGCGCAAUCCUCUUUUAGAGUUCAUAUCGACAAGAGGGUUUACGACCUCGAUGUUGGAUCAGGGCAUCCUAAUGGUGCAGCCGCUAUUAAGGGUUCGUUUGUUCAACGAUUAAAGUCCU
rnacentral:rRNA from 1 species